AGAGAGUCGAAGGGUUGUUCUUUGGCCUGGAGGAAGGGUAGGACAGGGAGAACUGUCCUGUGUAUCUGCUACUCACAGUGUGGGGAAGUUCUGCGUCACUUAAAUUAGGGAGAGCUGGCGACUUACAAUACUCAUGUGGAUUUUCACAGUCAAUG